GAUGAAGAACGUAGCGAAAUGCGAUAAGUAGUGUGAAUUGCAGAAUUCAGUGAAUCAUCGAAUCUUUGAACGCACAUUGCGCCCUUUGGUAUUCCAAAGGGCAUGCCUGUUCGAGCGUCAUUUGUACCCUCAAGCUUUGCUUGGUGUUGGGCGUCUUGUCUCUAGCUUUGCUGGAGAUUCGCCUUAAAGUAAUUGGCAGCCGGCCUACUGGUUUCGGAGCGCAGCACAAGUCGCACUCUCUAUCAGCAAAGGUCUAGCAUCCAUUAAGCCUUUUUUUCAACUUUUGACCUCGGAUCAGGUAGGGAUACCCGCUGAACUUAAGCAUAUCAAUAAGCGGAGGA
rnacentral:misc_RNA from 1 species